rnacentral:pre_miRNA from 1 species
CCUUUAACUAUUAAAAGUUUCAUUUUGAUCCUGUAACUUACUUUUUGGUUUCGUUUUGGUCCCUUAACUCUUCCUCGUCAACCACUUUGGUCCUUUAUGUCAGGAUGAAUGUAUUAGAGUUAAGUGACCAAAAUGAAACCAAAAAAUAAGUUAAGGGACCAAAACGAAACUUUUAAUAGUUAAGGGACCAAAAGAAAACCCAAAAAUAAGUUAUUGGACCGAAACAAAACUUUUAAUAGUUAAGGAA